rnacentral:rRNA from 1 species
UACGGAGGAUGCAAGCGUUAUCCGGAUUCAUUGGGUUUAAAGGGUGCGUAGGCGGACUAUUAAGUCAGUGGUGAAAGCCUGCAGCUUAACUGCAGAACUGCCAUUGAUACUGAUAGUCUUGAGUUUGGUUAAGGUAGGCGGAAUGUGUAAUGUAGCGGUGAAAUGCUUAGAUAUUACACAGAACACCAAUUGCGUAGGCAGCUUACUGAGCCGACACUGACGCUGAGGCACGAAAGCGUGCGGAUCAAA